CCACGGACCGGACAGAGACGAGUCGCUUGCUGAAGGCCCAGGCCACCAAGCCAGAGCUAUCCAUGUGGCUUAGGGGACUUUGCCCGCCAUCUCCAGCUGGCACACGAGAGCCGCUGCCCUCACCUGCCCCGGGACACCUCUGCUGCUGUGCUACGGGUGGGUGUCUUUUCUGUCUUCAGAGGAACUGAGCCUUUAGAAGAGAAUUAAAGGGGGAAGGAAGGCUCCCAAUUCCAAUGUCAUUACAAGGUCCCUCGACAAUAGGGAUGAACAAGUGAACUGCAGGAGAUGCAGCUUCCCAUUGUCCCAAGGCCUGCAAGAAGCAACAGCCCAGCCAAAUCUGAACUGAGCAAAUCUGAGAUAUGCAAAAUUUAUCAGUCCCAGAAAGACAGGAGCUGGGGACUUCGUCACACUCCCACACCCAUGCUUGGGGGCAGUUGUUUCAAGACAUUUUGUUCCUGACUGGCAGCUCACUUGUUAUCUUCAAGUUCCUGGAAUUUGUGGCACAAAGAACAGUGUAUAGCCAAUCUGUAGCUUAUGUGAUUUUGAUGUAAAUUAUUGGUAAACAAUUUAGGAACUGCCUAUUUCGUUUUCCUUUAAAAACCCACUAGUAAGUUCUGGUAAUCAAGAGUGUAUAUAUUCUGGGAAACUUGAAUCUAUGCCCCUGGGGUUGCAGUCCUCAAAGUGGGUCAAAUAAACUCUCUGCUUAUAUUAAUGUUGCCUCAGUUUUUUCUUUUAGGUAGACACCUUCUUCCCUGGCCUGCCCGGGCUGCUGUGAUCCUAUCUCGCUGAGCUGCAGCUGGAGUCUGAUUCCGAUGAGACAACAUCAAUGAUCAAGUUUGGGGUUCAGGUUAGGGCUCAGGGGCAGCCAGCUGUACAAAGUCCUGAAUUCUGGAGACCCUGUGAGGCCUCUGUCCAUGCCACUCAUAACAGGGACAAAUCUCAAAA